GUCUUGCUGCAGCUCGCGUCGAAGGCGACUAAUCCCAGCGACCUUAAUUCACUCGAAGGGAGCUGUCCCUGGCCGGGUCCGUGGACCCGGGCACAUGGCGCCCACCUGGUUAUCCAGGUCGAGGGGAUUGAACAGUCCUUCACGGUUUCCGCGGCGCCGCC
rnacentral:other from 1 species